rnacentral:rRNA from 1 species
UACGUAGGGGGCAAGCGUUGUCCGGAAUUAUUGGGCGUAAAGAGCGCGUAGGCGGUCCGGUAAGUCGGUUGUGAAAGUCGGGGGCUCAACCCUCGGAUGCCGAUCGAUACUGUCGGGCUAGAGUCCGGAAGAGGAGAAUGGAAUUCCUGGUGUAGCGGUGAAAUGCGCAGAUAUCAGGAAGAACACCCGUGGCGAAGGCGGUUCUCUGGGACGGUACUGACGCUGAGACGCGAAAGCGUGGGGAGCGAACAGG